rnacentral:rRNA from 1 species
AUAUUGCGCAAUGGAGGGAACUCUGACGCAGCGACGCCGCGUGAGCGUUGAAGGUUUUAGGAUCGUAAAGCUCUGUCCUUGGGGAAGAAGGUCUUCGGACUUGACGGUACCAAAGGAGGAAGACCCGGCUAACUCCGUGACAGCAGCCGCGGUAAAACGUAGGGGGCAAGCGUUGUCCGGAAUUAUUUGGCGUAAAGGGUGCGUAGGCGGCCUUUUAAGUCAGGUGUUAAAGCCCACGGCUUAACCGUGGGAUUGCAUUUGAAACUGGAAGGCUUGAGUAUCGGGGAGGGUAGUGGAAUUCCCAGUGUAGCGGUGGAAUGCGUAGAUAUUGGGAGGAACACCAGUGGCGAAGGCGACUACCUGGACGAAAACUGACGCUGAGGCACGAAAGCUAGGGGAGCAAACA